GACGAACGCUGGCGGCGUGCUUAACACAUGCAAGUCGAACGGAAAGGCCCUGCUUUUGUGGGGUGCUCGAGUGGCGAACGGGUGAGUAACACGUGAGUAACCUGCCCUUGACUUUGGGAUAACUUCAGGAAACUGGGGCUAAUACCGGAUAGGAGCUCCUGCUGCAUGGUGGGGGUUGGAAAGUUUCGGCGGUUGGGGAUGGACUCGCGGCUUAUCAGCUUGUUGGUGGGGUAGUGGCUUACCAAGGCUUUGACGGGUAGCCGGCCUGAGAGGGUGACCGGCCACAUUGGGACUGAGAUACGGCCCAGACUCCUACGGGAGGCAGCAGUGGGGAAUAGUGCACAAUGGGCGGAAGCCAGAUGCAGCAACGCCGCGUGCGGGAUGACGGCCUUCGGGUUGUAAACCGCUUUCGCCUGUGACGAAGCGUGAGUGACGGUAAUGGGUAAAGAAGCACCGGCUAACUACGUG
rnacentral:rRNA from 1 species